GAUGAACGCUGGCGGCGUGCCUAACACAUGCAAGUCGAGCGAAGCGCCUUACUUGAUUUCUUCGGGAUGAAAGUAUUGUGACUGAGCGGCGACGGGUGAGUAACGCGUGGAUAACCUGCCUCAUACAGGGGGAUAACAGUUAGAAAUGACUGCUAAUACCGCAUAAGACCACAGCACCGCAUGGUGCAGGGGUAAAAACUCCGGUGGUAUGAGAUGGAUCCGCGUCUGAUUAGCUAGUUGGUAAGGUAACGGCUUACCAAGGCGAUGAUGCAUAGCCGAGUUGAGAGACUGAUCGGCCACAAUGGAACUGAGACACGGUCCAU
rnacentral:rRNA from 1 species